UAUAAUCGCCGCCUAGCAGGUGUCCGCGCUUAGCCUUUUGGGGGCGAGCGCGGGUGAAACGGGAAGCCGGUGUGAAGCCGGCGCUGCCCCCGCAACGGUAAGGCCUGGCGCGAUACGCGCCUAGGCGACGCAGCAAGCCACUGUCCAAUCGGAUGGGAAGGCGCGUCGCCGGCAUGGCCCAGCCCGGAGACCGGCCUGCAGAGCCCCGGCCGG
rnacentral:ncRNA from 1 species